UCUCUAAUUUCUAACCCUAAAUUCCAAAAUUCCCAAAUUAACUCAUAAAACUCUAAUUCCCAAAAUUCCUAACUCUAACAGCCGCAACCUCACCCUCCUUCAACGUAACAAACAAAAGCAGCCACUGUAGAGAGAAGAGGAAUCGGGAGAAGAAGAGAGGAGAGGAAAGGCCUGCCCAGCCAUCACCACCGCAGCGCCGCUGCAGCUAUUGCCUCCUUCAGAGCUGCGGAAAGUCGUCCUCCUUGCCGUCGAAUGCCACCGUCGUGUCGCACAUGAGAGAGAGAGAGAGACAGAUUCGAGAGGAGCUACCCGUGAUCGCUGCCGUUGAAGCCAGGCUCGUCGCCGUCACCACCAACGAAGCUGCGAGGAGCCGCUGUCGUGCUCGUGUCGCUGUGCACCGUCGAGCUUCCCUCACCCUGAGCCGUCGAUCUGUCGCCACCGUUAUAAGGGCUUGUCGCUGGAGCCACGACUGUCACUGAGCUUCUGUCGCCGCUGCCGUUCAAGCCGCUGCUGCCGUCGAUUUGGAGUUGCUGCGAUUGGAGCCACUAGCGGGGGUCUUCCACCAUCACUGGAGCUGCCCAGAAUCAUCGUGGAAGCUGCCAAGAUAUAUGGUUGAUUUCUAAUUAUGCCAAGACAUCAUCACUAAU